GGGACAGUAGCUAAGUAGUAGAGCUCCCGCGUCAUAUGCGGGAACACCUGGGUUCGAUUCCCGGCAGCUUCU
rnacentral:tRNA from 1 species